rnacentral:sRNA from 2 species
GGACAGUCAUCGCCGAGUCCCCGUACGGCGCGAGCCAGGGGAGCCGGGGACCCAUGAAGUCCCUGGGGUGAAUCGGACGCCCGCGCGUGAGCGAGGGGGUCCGUAGGAGACCUUCCUGCUCCGAACCCGUCAGCUAACCCGGUAGGCGAGAGGGAAGGAAAGG